UACGUAGGGUGCAAGCGUUGUCCGGAAUUAUUGGGCGUAAAGAGCUCGUAGGCGGUCUGUCGCGUCGGCUGUGAAAACCCGAGGCUCAACCUCGGGCCUGCAGUCGAUACGGGCAAACUAGAGUACUGCAGGGGAGACUGGAACUCCUGGUGUAGCGGUGAAAUGCGCAGAUAUCAGGAGGAACACCGGUGGCGAAGGCGGGUCUCUGGGCAGUAACUGACGCUGAGGAGCGAAAGCGUGGGGAGCGAACAGG
rnacentral:rRNA from 1 species